rnacentral:tRNA from 1 species
GGUUAUGGCUCAGCGGUAGAGCGCUCGCCUCAUAUGUGCAAGGCCCUGGGUUCGACCCUCAGCACCA